CACAAGCGGUGGAUGAUGUGGUUUAAUUCGAUGCAACGCGAAAAACCUUACCCACCUUUGACAUGGCAGGAAUCCUAAAGAGAUUUGGGAGUGCUCGAAAGAGAACCUGCACACAGGUGCUGCAUGGCUGUCGUCAGCUCGUGUCGUGAGAUGUUGGGUUAAGUCCCGCAACGAGCGCAACCCUUGCCAUUAGUUGCUACGAAAGGGCACUCUAAUGGGACUGCCGGUGACAAACCGGAGGAAGGUGGGGAUGACGUCAAGUCCUCAUGGCCCUUAUAGGUGGGGCUACACACGUCAUACAAUGGCCGGUACAGAGGGUAGCCAACCCGCGAGGGGGAGCCAAUCCCACAAAGCCGGUCGUAGUCCGGAUCGCAGUCUGCAACUCGACUGCGUGAAGUCGGAAUCGCUAGUAAUCGCGGAUCAGCAUGUCGCGGUGAAUACGUUCCCGGGUCUU
rnacentral:rRNA from 1 species